rnacentral:rRNA from 1 species
AGCAAUACAUGGCGAACUGCUCAGUAACACGUGACAACCUGCCCUUAGGUUGGGUAUAAACCCGGAAACUGGGUAUAAUACCCGAUAGGUCUCGAUUGCUGGAAUGCAUCGAGAUUUAAAGCUCCGGCGCCUAAGGAUGGGUCUGCGGCCUAUCAGGUAGUAGUGGGUGUAGCGUACCUACUAGCCUACGACGGGUACGGGUUGUGAGAGCAAGAGCCCGGAGAUGGAUUCUGAGACACGAAUCCAGGCCCUACGGGGUGCAGCAGGCGCGAAAACUUUACAAUGCUGGCAACAGCGAUAAGGGAACCUCGAGUGCCAGGUUACAAAUCUGGCUGUCGAGAUGCCUAAAAAGCAUUUCAUAGCAAGGGCCGGGCAAGACCGGUGCCAGCCGCCGCGGUAACACCGGCGGCUCGAGUGGUAACCGUUAUUAUUGGGUCUAAAGGGUCUGUAGCCGGCCGGAUAAGUCUCUUGAGAAAUCUGGCAGCUU